GCGGGUGUCGCCAAGCGGUUAAGGCCUCGGAUUGUGGUUCCGAUAUUCGUGGGUUCGAAUCCCAUCAUCCGCCCCA
rnacentral:tRNA from 1 species